UGGGAUGUAGCUCAGUGGUAGAGCACUUGUCUAGCAUGUGAGAGACCUGGGCUUGAUCCCAGCACUGCAA
rnacentral:tRNA from 1 species